GGGGCCAUAGCUCAGUUGGGAGAGCGCCUGCUUUGCAAGCAGGAGGUCGAGGGUUCGAGACCCUCUGGCUCCACCA
rnacentral:tRNA from 1 species